GUGAAUCAUCAAAUCUUUGAACGCAUAUUGCACUCUCUGGUAUUCCGGAGAGUAUGCCUGUUUGAGGGUAAUUAAAAAGAAUCUUUAACAAAUUUUUUUGGUCAAAGCAUUUGAGUGCCCGGCGGUUAUAGCGGUAGCUCGAAAUAAAUGGUCAAGUAACAUGUAAGUCGAGACGCGUAAUAAUAUUAUUGAGAGAAAUCGUCAAUAUGUGACUAUCAAGUAAUGAUGCAUACCAAUUGGGUUUGUAUGCGAUCAAUACAAGUAUUUUGAAAAUUAACUCAAAAAAGGGAGGAGUAC
rnacentral:misc_RNA from 1 species